CUUGUCCACGCCGGCUUGGUCCACGAAGGUGACGAAACCAAAGCCCCUGCAGCCACAGCAGCAGCGUUGUUGGAGAAGCCGGCGUUGGCGAAAAGGAAGGAAGCGGAAAAGUUGGUUGGGAAAUGGAUACUAUUUAGUUUGCUUUUCGAUCAACAUUCCUAGCCUUUCACAGAGACUUGUGUAGGAUGGCGUCUCAGGAUUGCAUGGCAUCAGAACUUGUGCCCAUUGCUCCAGGAUGCCUAUCACCAGACUGGGCCACAGCAACGCAUGGCAGGGGACGGCUAGUAGAAGAAUAAAGUUGGAUGAGACCACAUGGGCCAUUUAGUCCAACCCCCUUCUGCCUUGCAGGAAAAGCACAAUAAAAGUACCCCUGACAGUUGGCCCUCCAGCCUCUGUUUAAAAGCUUCCAAGGAAAAAGCUUCCACCAGACUCUGAAGCAAAGAGUACACCUAUAAAGAAGAAUGAGUGCAGCUUGACCACUCUUCAACGGUUAUGACUCAAGGUUAUGGAAUCCUGGGAUUUGCAGUUUGGGGAGGCACCAGCAUUCUUUAGUCGAGAAGGCCCCACUUUGCCAAAUGAUAUCUCCCAGGAUUCCAUAGGAUUGAGCCAUGGCUUUUAAAGUGGCAUCAAAAUGCAUUUGUUCCACACUAUAGGUGCACAGUCUCCAAAUAGUCAUAAUAUGACAAUAUUUGUUUGUUUGUUUAUUUAGGAGAUUUCUAUGCUGCCUUUCUCCAGGUAGACUCAAGGCAGCUCACAUCAUCUUAAAAUAUGCAUUGUAACAUAAAAGCAAAUGAUAAAAGUUCCACGAAUGCUCCAUAACAUCAUCCAUAUUAUAAACAAUAAAGCUAAAAUCAGUUUAAAAUUUGACCAUAAAGUGCUUUGUUAAAAUAAAUUUCAAACAGGAAAGUCUUCGCACCUUUUCUGAAUGACAUCAGGGUGGGAGCUGAUCUGACUUCUUCCAGCAGUGCCUUCAAAUAGUCAUUAAAAUAAAAUAGCCAGCAUUAAAGGGCGUACACAUUUUGAGAGGCACAUUCUCAGACAGUGUCGCCAAACCUUGGGCUUCAGCUCCCAGAAUCCCUUGCUGUGGCAUCUGGGGGUUGAAGUCCAAGAAGCUGAAAGAACA